rnacentral:rRNA from 1 species
CUUUGGGAUAACCCUCGGAAACGGGGGCUAAUACCGGAUAUGACCUCCUGUCGCAUGGUGGGGGGUGGAAAGUUUUUCGGCCUGGGAUGGGCUCGCGGCCUAUCAGCUUGUUGGUGGGGUGAUGGCCUACCAAGGCGACGACGGGUAGCCGGCCUGAGAGGGCGACCGGCCACACUGGGACCGAGACACGGCCCAGACUCCUACGGGAGGCAGCAGUGGGGAAUAUUGCACAAUGGGCGGAAGCCUGAUGCAGCGACGCCGCGUGAGGGAUGACGGCCUUCGGGUUGUAAACCUCUUUCAGCAGGGACGAAGCGCAAGUGACGGUACCUGCAGAAGAAGCGCCGGCCAACUACGUGCCAGCAGCCGCGGUAAGACGUAGGGCGCGAGCGUUGUCCGGAUUUAUUGGGCGUAAAGAGUUCGUAGGCGGCUUGUCGCGUCGACUGUGAAAACCCGCAGCUCAACUGCGGGCCUGCAGUCGAUACGGGCAGGCUAGAGUUCGGUAGGGGUGACUGGAAUUCCUGGUGUAGCGGUGAAAUGCGCAGAUAUCAGGAGGAACACCGGUGGCGAAGGCAGGUCUCUGGGCCGAUACUGACGCUGAGGAGCGAAAGCGUGGGGAGCGAACAGGAUUAGAUACCCUGGUAGUCCACGCUGUAAACGUUGGGCGC